CCAGUCUGCAACCCUAAUAAAAACAAUUAAAUGCUCACAAAAUUUCCCAAGUACAGAAAUGGAACUAUCACAGACCAAAGUAAUUCUUAAAAACUGUACCUUGUGCAUAAUGAUUUUACAAGAAAUAUAUUCAAAAUAUUGCUCCCGAACUCUCAAAGAGUUGCCCCCACAUUGAACCGACCCCACACACCAGCUGUGGCAUAAGCUCUGAAAAAUGAGGGGGCAGAAGCUACAUACCAACCGCGUGAGAAAAUUGCUGGUUUCUGACUAAACUUAUAUAUUAACCCAUAGAAAUAUUUCUAAUGCUACGUCAUAGAGGAUAAGCCCUAAGACGCCUCACUAUUUAACGACACUUAAACACACUAUAGGCCUAAAACCAGCCACUAAUAACACGUUACAAUGAACUAUAACUCAAUAAAAAUCACCUAUAAUGUAAAACCUAGUCAGAAAUUUAUAUUUAGUCCCCACAUUAAAAUUUUUAUGUAAAAAUAAGUACUUAUAUAUAACCGCACAAACAUACGCACCAAACACCAACAAAGGAACUCGGCAACCCCCGUUUCGACUGUUUAUCAAAAACAUUACCUUAAGACAAAUAAUUUAAGGCAAGCCCUGCCCAGUGAGUAUACUCUUCAACGGCCGCGGUAUCCUAACCGUGCAAAGGUAGCAUAAUAACUUGCCUAUUAAUUAUAGGAUAGUAUGAAAGGGUAAACGAAAUAGGACCUGUCUCUCUCGGUCCAAUGAAAAUUAUUUUUUAACCGAAGAAAGUUAAAUCCAACUGAAGGACAAGAAGACCCUAUAGAGCUUCAUUUAAAUACUUACAAAAAAAACUUUAAAUUCAGUUGGGGCGACUAAUGCUCUACCAAUCAUCAAUGCCCAUAAGAUAAAUCUAUCUUAAAAAAGACCCUGACCCAGAUCAAGAAAACAAGCUACCUUAGGGAUAACAGGCUAAUCUCAUUUAUGAGUCCCUAUCUAUAAUGUUGGUUGGCACCUCGAUGUUGGCUUAGGGAAUCAAAGGGGCGCAGAAGCUUCUUAAGAUGGUUUGUUCAACCAUUAAACCCCUACAUGAGCUGAGUUCAGACCGGCGUAAGCCAGGUUAGUUUCUAUCCUCAGCAACCUAAUAUUUAGCUACAGUACGAAAGGACCCAGCUAAGAAAAUUUUUUUAUGUGAGAACAAAUAUAACCAAAAAUAAAUAUACUAAACUACACCCUAUA
rnacentral:rRNA from 1 species